UACAUGGGGUGCAAACGUUGCUCGGAAUUAUUGGGCGUAAAGCGCACGUAGGCGGUUCGUUAAGUCGGAUGUGAAAGCCCUCGGCUCAACUGAGGAAGUGCACCCGAAACUGGCGAGCUUGAGUACGAAAGAGGAUCGCGGAAUUCCCGGUGUAGAGGUGAAAUUCGUAGAUAUCGGGAGGAACACCGGCGGCGAAGGCGGCGAUCUGGGUCGAUACUGACACUGAGGAGCGAAAGCGUGGGGAGCGAACAGG
rnacentral:rRNA from 1 species